rnacentral:lncRNA from 12 species
GCAGCCCCCCACUUCUGCACAGCCGCCCGGCCAGCCCACUCUGCCGCUCCUGCAGGGCUGCUCCGGUUUCCACCUGCGUCCUACCUGGACUCAGCUUCCCCGGCCAGGCUCUCCCCACGUCUGGGAGCUCCCUUGGGAGCCGGGCAAGAAGGAAGCACCUGGGCCCGACAGAGCGGAGCCAGAUGCCGAGAGCCAGCAGCGGCUGGCGAGUGGGGCACAUGUACACCACCCCACAGGUGUAGGGCUGUCAGGUCCACGAAGGGAGCUCUAAAACCAGGCUUAGGGGGUCCCUGUGGGAAAACAUCGGAGCCGGAGGUAGAGUCACAGCCCAGCGGAAGUAGGACAUGCCUGUACCGUGUGCCACCCUGGAAAAAAGGUGCCCCAUCCCUGCCAGGAGGGGCCCUGGAGCUGCCCCACCUGUACAUCAGCACCCGACGUGGGCUCUCUGAUCUCAGGGUCAGGAAAGUACAUCCUGUGUGUCACUGACAGGCACCCUUGGGCAACAGCGUCUGGGACCUCAGGCCCACGGAGCUGAAAGGAUGCACGUGUGUGGGCCCCUGCCUCCGUGGCACGGAGCAGACUUGGGGAAUCUUGCUUCUGCCGCAAAGCCAGGAGGCGCUCAGAGGUGCCAAGAGCAGCAUCCAAGGCCAACGGGCCUCCCACACGGGCCCAGGAUGUGUCGGGCAGCAAGACGACGGUGACUGUCGUCUGUUCAAACAGCAAGAAAGAGUGAGCACAGUCCCCCCAAUCCCCGGGCCUCGGGGGAAGGAGCCCGGGCAGGACCUGAGCCUCCUGCCAUGGCCAGUGCAAGCAUCCAGCCACGUGAUCCGCCCCCCCCAUGCUCGGGGCACCCCUCACUGCACCCUGUGGGGUGUAACGAAACGCUGGUGAAGAAGCUUACUCAUCCCCACACCCCAGGCCAAAUCUCCAAAUGGAUGGACAGAGACCCGGACCUCCAUGCACGUGAAACCCAAAGAAUCCCUCAUCUCAGGGAACAUGAAAGAUGGGGCAUCAUCGAGAGUUUCCUCAACCUGUGCAGACGUUUCGUUCUGGAGCAGGCCAGGGCGGGCCAGCCUCACUCAGGCGGCACUGGGCCCCCCUGCGGCACCCAGCCCAGAGCCGAGCUGCCCGCUGCCCGCGUCAGUAGUCCGAGCCCUCGGGAUGCUGAGAACACGCCUAAGGAAGAAGCGGCAGCCCAAGGGGAAGCUGGAGUUCAGCACCUUCAGUGCCCGCCCUGA